rnacentral:rRNA from 1 species
UGAGGAAUAUUGGUCAAUGGGGCGCGAGCCUGAACCAGCCAAGUAGCGUGCGGGAGGAAGGCCCUAUGGGUUGUAAACCGCUUUUACCGGGGGAUAAAGUGGGCCACGUGUGGCCUUUUGCAGGUACCGCAUGAAUAAGGACCGGCUAAUUCCGUGCCAGCAGCCGCGGUAAUACGGAAGGUCCGGGCGUUAUCCGGAUUUAUGGGUUUAAAGGGAGCGCAGGCCGCCGGGCAAGCGUGUUGUGAAAUGCAGUCGCUCAACGUCUGCACUGCAGCGCGAACUGCCCAGCUUGAGUGCGCGCAACGUUGGCGGAAUUCGCCGUGUAGCGGUGAAAUGCUUAGAUAUGGCGAAGAACUCCGAUUGCGAAGGCAGCUGACGGGUGCGUAACUGACGCUCAUGCUCGAAAGUGCGGGUAUCGAAC